UGAACACUAGUCAGUAGGGAUAAAGCCUCUACGGACCAGAUCAACUUCUCAGUGUUAAGAUGAGAUAUGUAAGGGUUUACCAUCAAGUUUGUAGAGGAAAACCCAAUAACCUUGCCCAAGGCUGGACAUCUCCACAUGGAAGAACAUGAGCAUCCACAACUGGCUUCUGGUAAGACGUCUCUAGACAGCACCGACCACCCCAGGCUUGAGAGACAUCACUUCCUAUUUCUUCAGAUCUUUGAGAAGAGAUAUAUUUUAAGCUUGAAAACAUUGUGCAUUCAAAUGAAACUUAAAGAGGAAGAAAAGGAAGGAACCGUGAGUGGACAAGCAAGUGCAAAAGAUGCUAGCCCAAGCAAUGUCUUCCAAAUUUUAUUCUAGAGGUUGUGAGGCAAAUGGAACCCUACCACCAGACAGAAGAACUGAACAUGAAGAUAAGCAUCUCUCAGGAGUAUAUAGUUUGGAGUUGAAGUGCUGACUCUACUUGGCUAUAAACAACUUUAAUCUUGCAAGAAGCCCAGAUACAUCAUGGAUGAUUUUUUUACAUUAUCCCACCAACAUCCACCUAAAGGAUUGAUGGCGUGUUAACAGCACUUAAGCCUUCCUGGCCACCUAU